rnacentral:rRNA from 1 species
AAAUUGAAGAGUUUGAUCAUGGCUCAGAUUGAACGCUGGCGGCAGGCCUAACACAUGCAAGUCGAACGGUAACAGGAAGCAGCUUGCUGCUUCGCUGACGAGUGGCGGACGGGUGAGUAAUGUCUGGGAAACUGCCUGAUGGAGGGGGAUAACUACUGGAAACGGUGGCUAAUACCGCAUAACGUCGCAAGACCAAAGAGGGGGAACUUCGGGCCUCUUG